AAGUCCGGCGUUUAAAUAUUUGGUUAUUAAAACUCGGACUUAGUUAUUAUAUACCGGGUGUAACUGAACUCUGUGCCAAUAUUUCAGGGAAAGAGUCAUUCGUUCACACAAUUCGCAGUUUUCAAGAGAUCAGCCGCACUUAUUUGAUUCGAUAGUAGAUUGUCUUGAUGAAGAUGGCAUCUGUGCCCGAGGUUUGCAGAAUGUAGGCUAUAUAUCUCAUUCAAGCUGCUAAUUUUCGGAGGCCCCAAGCGCGCGCUUCUUGUGCCUAUACUACGAUGAUCGCUGCUGCAAAGAUGGACGAUGUCACAUAUUAAAACAUGAUAGGCUUACUUUAUACGUUUAAGAUAAUAGGACAAGAAAUAGUCCAGAACUCACAAAGAGGUGGCGGCUGUAUCAUGAGUUCUGCCCAACGAGCUAUAAUAUACUACAUAGAAUAAUGCCAUGUUUACAGAAAAUUGAAUACACGUCCGCCAUUUUCUUUUUAGUCAAGGAGACGUGCCAUUUGUGCUGUGUAAAGGCAACGAUUAUAUUCUAACUCGUUGUGUAAGUGUGAAAAGAAAAGGAAAACUUAACACUUAACUGAGAUGGUGCGAAUCAAAAUGAAUCUACUUAGUUAUUUUGUUUUAAAAGUAAAUAACAAGAUAUUUUUU